GCCCCUUCUUAGAUAAACUUCCUUUCCAAGAAAAUAGCAUGCCUACUAAUAAUUUUUUUUUGUUCAGUAGGCAUAUAAAAGUAGGAUCUAAUACUCUCCUAUGGAUCACCUACAAACCAAUAUUUUUUGGAUCUAGUACUUAACUUAUGUCCAAAAUUAUUUUUGACAUAAAUCGGAUAGUCUCAAAUCUUAAGAUGCUUAAGACUAGGCUUUCUACUCUUUCAUAAUUUAUAUGGAGUGCUAGAAAU
rnacentral:lncRNA from 1 species